AGGAGGAAGAGGGCUUGACGGGCACCAGCUUUUCCAUGGCCACCAGGAUCCAGUCAGGGGCACACACCAGGAACGGCAGCUCCUUCUCCUGCCUGGCCUCCCACCCCGCACUGCCACUGGGGGCUGCCUGUGGGACCACCCUGUGUGAGUGACAAGGGGCCCAGCUGCCCCCCAGCCCCCUUUGUGACCCCCUGGUGUCACAGCAGAGCUGCAGUGACCCCGCGCCGUGGCCAAACCACGGAUGGGCGCUCCAGGGUGCUGCUGCCUUUCCUGGGACCUUCAGCACUUCCAGCUUGCUCCAAAACGGGGACGCUGUGGCACGGCCGGGAUUGCCGAACCCCCGUCACCCUGGGAGGGGAAUGUGUCUCCUUUUUGGGGUGCUUUGGCACAGCGUGGCAGUGCCCCGCUCCGACACCGCUCCGUCCCACAGGGGUCCCGUGGGGCGGCCCCAGCUGCGCGGCGGCGGCCACCAAGGGUGACGAGUACGUGAUGCUGCGGUGCCGCUGGGAGGGGGGCACGCCGCUCGUCACCCUGCGCUGGCGGGACAGUGCGGGCCGCACCCUGGGCGACCCCGCGCCCUCCACGGCCGUGCUGGUGCUGAGCACCGACGGCAGCCUGGGCGGCCGCGAGUUCGUCUGCGAGGCCGCGCACCCGCUGCGGGCCGCUGCCGCCGAGUGCCGCCUGCGGCUGGGUAAGCCCGACCCGUCCCCACCACGCCACCGUGCCACGGAGCGGUGGCACCUCCCGGCCGAUCGUGUCCCCCCUUGUCGCCGAGCAGAGGUCCCCGAGCUGCAGGCGGAGAGCGAAGUGGCGGUGCUGGAGGGCGGCGAGGCGCAGCUGGCGUGCCGGCAACGUGGCAGCGGUGCCGGUCUCGGUGCCACAGUGGCUUGGUACGACCCAAAGGAGCGGGAGGUGACACCGGGGCUGGCCAAGUACCAGCUGGAGCAGGGAGAAGAGUGGGUCAACCUCACGGUGCGGGAUGCCGAGUGGCCGGGGGACAGUGGGAUCUACCGCUGCACCGCCACCAAUGCCGUGGGCACCGCCAGCCUCCCCGUCCGCCUCCGCGUGGACCGGUACCCAGCGCCGCCCAAUGUCACCAUCAGUAAGCUGCGGUACACGCGGGCGCGCACCGAGGUGCGGCUGGAGUGGCGGACGCAGGGCGCCGGCAACCUCACCGGCUUCGUGGUGCAGCGGCGCCGAACCAAGAAGCCCCUCCGGGAGACCCCCAGCCCCUGGGAAACGGCCGCCGGCGACAUCGAGCCGCACUCCCGCGACCGGCGCCUGGGGGGGCUGGACCCCGCGGUGCUCUAUGCUUUCCGCGUCCUGGCCGUCAACCACCGCACGGCCGGGCACCCCUCCGAGGUGCAGACGCCAGGUGAAGCGGGCAGGGGCUGCUCCGUGGGGGCAGAGCGAGGGUUGAGUGGAGAAGGGCAGCGUUUCCAUCCCGGUGGAGCUGAGGAGCCGAGUGCGAGCAGCCGUCAGCAGGUUUCAGGCACAGGCUCGCACCUUGCCGGGCCUUUCUGGGCUCUGCCCGUCCCUGCUGCCUGCCAUGUUCCCUCUGCUCUCUUCCAGCCGAGCCUCCCUUCGAGGCCUACCCGGCGGUGACGGGGGCGGCGGUGGCAGGGAUGCUGGUGGCCAGCGCAGCAUCGCUGCUGGCCGUGCACUGCAUCGCCCGCCACAGGGACACCCUCCCGCGUGAGUGCGGGGGCGCCUCGGGGGCCACAGCCCGAGCCCCGACCCCUCACCUCACACCCAUGUCCCUCCGCAGGGCUGCACGACCUGCUGUUCCGCACGUGAGUGCCCAAACCCCUCUGUGCCACCUCCCGUGCCCGGGCAGCAGCGAGCCCCCCGCGAGAGAGCCCCCCGUGUCCCCGCAGGGCCGGGCCCGGCGCGCAGGAGCCCGUGGGCACAGCGGAGGAUGCUGAGGCAGCCGCAGGCGGCGAGGAGGAAGCAGGGCCAGCCCAGGGAGACUCGUGUGCCCCCGGUGCAGCUACGGGUGCCGAGGCAGCACCAGCACAGGGAGACCCGUGUGCCCCGGGCACGGCAGCAGGUACCGGGGCGGCCGAGGGCAGAGCCACCUGCCCCGCUGAGCCAGCACCCAAUGCCCUUCUGAACCAGCACCCACCUGCCCCCACCAGCUCCCGCUGAACCAGCACCCACCUGCCCCGCUGAGCCAGCACCCACCCGUG
rnacentral:lncRNA from 1 species